rnacentral:rRNA from 1 species
AGAUUGAACGCUGGCGGCAUGCUUUACACAUGCAAGUCGAACGGUAACAGGCCGCAAGGUGCUGACGAGUGGCGAACGGGUGAGUAAUGCAUCGGAACGUGCCCAGUCGUGGGGGAUAACGCAGCGAAAGCUGUGCUAAUACCGCAUACGAUCUAUGGAUGAAAGCGGGGGACCGAAAGGCCUCGCGCGAUUGGAGCGGCCGAUGUCAGAUUAGCUAGUUGGUGGGGUAAAGGCCCACCAAGGCGACGAUCUGUAGCUGGUCUGAGAGGACGACCAGCCACACUGGAACUGAGACACGGUCCAGACUCCUACGGGAGGCAGCAGUGGGGAAUUUUGGACAAUGGGCGCAAGCCUGAUCCAGCAAUGCCGCGUGCAAGGAAGAAGGCCUUCGGUUGUAAACUGCUUUGUACGGAACGAAACGGUCUGGUUAAUACCUCGGCUAAUGACGGUACCGUAAGAAUAGGACACCGCUAACUACGUGCCAGCAGACCG